rnacentral:rRNA from 1 species
UACGAAGGGGGCUAGCGUUGCUCGGAAUGACUGGGCGUAAAGGGCGCGUAGGCGGUUUGGACAGUCAGAUGUGAAAUUCCUGGGCUCAACCUGGGGGCUGCAUUUGAUACGUUCGGACUAGAGUGGGGAAGAGGGUCGUGGAAUUCCCAGUGUAGAGGUGAAAUUCGUAGAUAUUGGGAAGAACACCGGUGGCGAAGGCGGCCUGCUGGGCUAUGGCUGACACUGAGGCGCGACAGCGUGGGGAGCAAACAGG